UCCAAAAGCCAGCAAAAAGGCUGCACUGGAGUCCUAGCUCUGCACUGCUCAUAGUCUGCAGUGCUGAUACUUCUGUGUGCCCAAGUUCCCACCCCUGGCUUUCACAACAAGUGUUGUUUCUCAUGUAAUGAUAUUCCUGGGAAAGUGCAAAUCUCUAGAUUCACACGUGCAUUAUGAGAGCAGAGAUGGGGAGACUGGACUGGCUGGAUAGAGAUGGCACUCUGAUGACACUUGUAAAAAGAGAGGAAUCCAUAGGGCUAUAUUAUUGCAAAGAGGGAAGUUUGUUGGCAGAUUACUACUGCCACCACGUAGAAGCUUGCACCUUCUGGCUCUGUAGAGAUCUAUUUCACCUUGUGAAGGUGCACAAAUGAUUCAAAGGAUCAUAGACUAGAGGAUUUUGAUGACGCUUUCUUGCUUCCAGUGGAAGCAUUUUGCCUACCAAGUAUCAGCUUGAUUUCAAACGUGGAGACAUCUUGAGGGACACCAGAACAGUAGGCUCGGAAUAACUGAGGAGGCUCAGGAAGCAUCUCUGGCCUGGCUGGCCAGAGGGCCACAGUGACCAGGACCAGGAGUGCUAGAGCUGUCCAAAACAGACACUGCCAGUGCAACGUGGACAGGAGCGUGUCUUCCGCUGUGGUCUCCUCGAUCUCCUGGAUGAGGCGGAUCAUCUCCUCACGCAGGUGCACCUCACGCUCCAGCAUCUUUCUGGUUAUGGCCACGUCUUUUCGGUUAUCCUCCUUCAGGACAGGCUGGGCAGCCAGCAGAAGCAGAAACAUCGUCGUUAUCAAGGACAUGGCCUGAAGGAGGUGAGAGGAAAGGGGGAUCAUCAGGUGGGAGGGAGUAGGGAGCUGAGGGCACUCAGCUCAUCCUCAAAGUCUCUUUGUGCACUCAGCUCUCUCUCUGGGUUAGAAACACCCUGGGGAUCACCCUGGUCCCCUGUCCAGCUCAGCCUUUCCUCUGCAUGACAACUUACCAGUUGCCCAAGUCCAGCUGCAGUGGGGCUGAGGCUGCCUGUGGAUACCCCUGGUGAUGGGUCCCAUUGUGCCCCAUCCUGAAUGAUGUCACAACCACCAGAGCCUCAUAUCCUGGCUGACAAGAUGAUGAUGGCUCUGCUCCAAUUGUGGGCUGUCUCCAGUGAUGUCACAGCCAUCAGUGACAUCACCCAGCUGGGAGCCCCCAGCCUUUGUCCUGCCCUGUUCAGUGGGUCCAGGGCAUCAUCACACCAAGUGCAAACCCUCCUGAGGAGUGAGGUCCCAGGGGCUCUGUGCACAAAGUGGGCAAACUCCCCAAAGCUGUAAAUGAAAAAAAAAAAAAAGCCAGUUGUCUCCCUGGUGUAGAGUAAAAGAGCCACCACGAUACCAUGUCCCCAAGUGCCACAUGUCUUUUAAAUUCCUCUAGGGAUGAUGACUCUAUCACUUCUCUGGAAAGCCUGUUCUUCAGUGCUUGAUAACCAUUCUGGGGAAGAAAUUUUUCCUUGUAUCCAGCUUAAACCUCUCCUGGUGGAACUUGAGGCUGUUUCCUUGUCCUAUACUUGUUACCUAGGAGAGGAGACCAACACCCAUCUGGCUACAGCCUUCUGGCUGGACUUGGAAGCAGACCUUUAAAUUAGAUUUGACAGGAAAGGGGGAUGCACUCCCAAGUGUCAGAGGGGAGGCAGGAAACACCAACAUUUUGGGAAGCAACAGGGAAAUACCUGUAAAUUGGUGUUUUUACAGAGCUAGGCUGGGCAGGAGGUGUGUGUGUUGUGCUCUGUGCUAAGGAACGGAUUGAUUGUGAAGAGGAACAGCUUCUGUUCCUCUGAGGAACAGCCAGGAGCAGGCUGAGAGCUUGUGGGCACAAAUGAAAGGCCAGACCAACAGAGGGCACUUUGUGCUCGGGUCUGCUCCGGGGUCUGGCCUGCGGGCCCUGCAGGUUCUUUGUUUCAGCUCCAGCAGCAUCUCCUCCCAAGCUCUCAUCCCACUGAAGGUUUCAGUCCUCGGGGCUGCCUGCAGGGAGGGAGCACAGCUGGCUGUGAGCAAUCCGGGAGACUCCUGGAGAGGUCAGGGACCUCUUCUUGGCCCAGAGGAGGAGCGCUACUGGAGCUGGUGCUCACAGGCACAAAUGGGCUCAUCAGGAGUGGAGCAGCCUGGGUGCAGUGACUGUGCCCUGGGGAGCUCGUGAUCCUGAGGAGCAGAGUCAGGACCCUGAACUUUGGAAGAACAAACUUCCAGCUGUUUAAAUAUGAGCAGUGGGCAGAUUGAAACUGUUUCAUAGCCCUGUGCUUUUGAGAAAAGCUAAAGGCAGGAUUUGAGCAGAAUAUGAGAUGUUUACUUCAGUGAAAUUUUCUUGCUUUUCAGUUUUCCUUUAUACCUGCUACAGCAGUUCUGUUAUUUGCUUUUUCUCCACAUAUGAAAUUCAGAUUGAACGUAAUGACUUUACACAGAUGUGGCAGACAUCCCUGCUGCACUUCAGCCUUUCUGAUAAAUCUGAAAGCAAUAUAUCCUGCAUGAUAUAUGAUUCUAUUGAUAAAUGCUUAGUCUCCAAAUGUCUGCCCUAAUAGUUUUUGGAAUGACCCUGAGUAACAAUUCAUCUAUUGUGAAAUUUCACAGAUUAUGAAGAAAAGCAGUCCACUAUUCCUGAACUCCUUGACUUCUGGAGCAACACAAGAGUACUUUGGAUAUUCUCUAGCCCUUGUAAAUGCAGAUUAAUAAAGGCAAAGCACAGUUCUUUUAUUCAGUGUUUUUGCAGGGCAGCAUUUUUACUUUGCUGCUAAUGAGCCUGAGGAAGUAAAUGGCCACCAAAGUGCCUCAUGAAAUACAGUCUCAGGUGAGGAAUUAUUAGUUAGCUGGCAAGUGUCACAAUGCCUCAGUCACUGAGCUGCCCAGUUUUGUGAGCAAAAGCUGAGUGCAGGCACACAUGGACUGACCCUUCUGCAGAGCAUCCUCUGCACUACCCCGUUGAAAUAUUACCUGUGGUGGCAAAAAGCUUCCAGGCUAGCAUUUUCUGCAUGGAUUUGUUUCAAAGGAACGUGGUCUGUAAAUGCUCCUAGAGGUGAGCAGCCUGAAAGAGGGAAGACAUGAAGGAAGCAGCAUCCAGUACCAGAGAGAACUGAAAAAUUGCUGCAGCCCUGUGGUCACCCUACACUGAUCCCAGCAAAUGGUCACCAAGGUGAUAAAAAAAGAUGAUUGAAAAAGAUGAAGAAAAGAUGAUGGAGCAAAUGAUCACAGAAUUCUGGAAUGAGUUGGGUUGGAAGGGACCUUAAAGAUCAUCUAAUUCCAAUGAUGGGCAGGGACACCUUCCACUAGACCAGAGCCCCAUCCAACCUGGUCUUGGUGCAUGAGGAAAACCAGCUGGGCAGGAAUUUGUUCAGCCUGGAGAAAGGAAUGAUCUUUUCAAUUCAAAUGCAUCUGUGAACACCCACUAGAAAACACAGCCAGACUCUCCAUUUAUGUGAACAAGGAAAGGAUAAGAAACAACAGAAAAAAAUUGCACCAAGACAAACUCCAAUCAGAUAUAAAGAGAAAAAUUUAUCAUGAGACCCAACCAAAC